rfam:Salmo salar isolate Sally breed double haploid chromosome ssa11, whole genome shotgun sequence.
AAUCCACCAAUUUGUAAGUCGCUCUGUGCAUAAGAGCGUCUGCUAAAUGACUUAAA